rnacentral:tRNA from 1 species
UCGCCGCCGUGCUCGGGUGGUUCCGCGGGUGGCGGUUCCGGCCGGCCACCGCGGCCGAGCGGCAGCUCUGGUCCGUCGGCGGCGGG